UGGUUACCCGCCCGUGGACGUAGAUCAGUUUAGACCAAACCACGUCAAUCUUUUAUAUUCUUGAUUGUGGUAGAUUAUGUGAGAGCGUUCGAUCCUAACAGAAAACCUUAUGCUAGGAGACAACUUCUAUUUCAUGUCUCAAUUAACUGAGCCUACAAAGGAAGUGGUUCCAUUCGUGAGAACACCACCGCCAUUGUAGCAUAAUGCACAAACCGAAUCAAAUAGUCCUUCAACUUCAUCAUCAUUGAGGUAAUCUUCGUCAUAAGAAGCAAUGAUUUCGGGCUUCUUUGUUGUUACAUCAGCCUUCAAUUCAAAACAAAAACAUAAAAGUAUGUUGUAUGGAUAUAAAAUCUAAAUAUAAAUUAGUAAGUAUUGUAAAAAAAUUGCCAUUCACAUCAUGAAGAACGUAUAGUCACCGAAUGGCGUUGAUGACCUGACCUGGCCCGUCACCAAUUCCAGAGGAAACCCACCGCAUUGAUGGUAAAACCCCUCCCCUAGAGAAAGUCGCCGCCGGGUACCACUAGAGCACUGUCCCUUUGGUUGUUUUGAUCUGAUUUAUGUUUAUAUCUUAGAUCUGUGCUUAUUUGGGGAGAAUUUGAUAUGGGUAAAGUGGUACAGAAGAAUUUUGUUUUGAGAACAAGGAACCGACGGCUGCAUCGAGCUCGUCGUGGCAUUGUUCUGCCUAAGUCGCCUCGGGUUUCUAGUCCUACUGCCACAUUACCGCGUCAUUGGUAUGGUUAUGUCUAUCCGCUUGUGUCGUUGAUAUCGGGUGCUCAUCUUGCAAAUUAUAUGUUGAUUUAUUUAAGUGGAUUGCAUUUGUAAAGUGUAGUAAGUAAUAACUUGUGUAUCUUAUGACAAACUUUUGAUGGAUUAUGUAGCAAGUGAAGUGAGGUGUUGGAGAAUUAGGGUUUGGAUCUUUUAAAUAGGAUUGAUCACUACAAUGAAUUUAAUUCCAUGUUGGUGCAUGCAGGGUUUAUGUGCUU